GGCUCAGUGGCACACCGGUAGCGCGUCUGACUACAGAUCAGAAGAUUGCGUGUUCAAAUCACGUCCGGGUCA